AAAAGCUUCUGUUAUUUCGGAGAGUAGCUAGCUAGGUUGUAUAUUCUAACACAGAGUAACAAUUUUUUUUGAAUCAUCAAAUUAACGAAUGUUUUGUUUUUCAAUUUGGUGAGUGAACGAAUGCUAAACAAUAAAUUUGCUCAUUCUUGGCUUUUGUUCUUUAACUCUAGUGUAGAAUAGUUUUAGUUUAAAUAUUGCUCCAGAAGAAAAAAGGAGUCACUAGGGUUUUACCAUUACCAUUGAACAAUGUAAUUUCCCUACACAUACAUACAUGGAAGCAAACUAGCUAGUUGCAUUGAAUCACUUGAGAAGCAGCAGGAAAUCAUUGACCAUACAUAGACUUCCAGAAAAAUAAGACUACAAGAGAUGCUGAAAUCUGAAAAUCACGAGAACAAGGACGAGUGCCACCAACUGUAGAAUGUGAAUUGACUGAUGACUGACUGACUGACUAUGCAUGGGUCAGUAAAUGUAUGUAUUGUACUGCACAUGACAAAUGAUUGAUAUCCAGGAUCAUAUGGUGUUAGAAGGGAGAGAUGAAACAAUUCCUUACACAUUUUCAUUUAGAGGUUAAACCAGUGAUUAAUUAGAUAAAUUGAUGUUAGUCCAUUUAUUUGACUUACUUAAAAGCUUUAUUUGGAGGUGUAAGAAAACAUUAUACAGAUAAUAAGAACAAGGUGUCCCUGUCACAGGAGACAUCCAUGUCAUAAUUGUUGGUUUGGAAAGUUCUUUCUCUCUUCUUUUGUUUAUUUUUGUAUUAAAUAGGCUGACAUUGUGACAUCUACUCUAAAAGACUUGUUGUAUUGUUAGCUAACUGAUGAGAGACGUGGUACUGCCGGUUAUGUUGAUAUUACAAGGUGAUCCUGGACUUGGAAAGAGUCUAUUAUUACAAGCAGCUGCGUCUCUAUUUCUCCACGUCGUAUUUAUGUGUGUGGUAAUGCCACAACAAAUGCUGGUCUUACCGUGGCUUCUGUGAAGGAUGCUUUGACAAGUGAUUAUGCUCUUGAAAGCAAUGGAGCAACAACGUGUUUCCGUUGCCAAAGCUGGCUGGACUUGUAGUAGCAAGCUUAUCAGCACCAACUUCUGUCUUGGCAGCGGCAAAGCCUGUUGGUGGCCACUACAAGUACUGUAACAAAUUCUUACUUGUAACUUUCUUCUGAUAUCAUUAUAAUUCUCAUAUUUUCCUACCCUUUCAAUCUAAAGAACCUUCUUUAAUUUCCAUUGAUACGUUACCGGCGCCUUCUUCUAACUCCUCCUGGGAAAUUAAUUUCAGCCGCACAAAAACUUUCAACGAAAAUUUGAAAAUGAGUGCUGCUUUACUAUCGCUAUUCGAUUUGGUUUUCAUAUUGCUUGCUUCAUAAGCCUGAUGAGCUGCUGGACAAGAGGGUCUCGGAGCACAUCAUGUCACUUCAUGCUGGAAGUGGAGAGAAUUCACCUGCUGCUAAGAAGUUGAAGGGUGAAUAUUGAUAUCUUACUGUAUUUUUUUUGUCAAUCAAAUUACUUUAAUAAGACUAGGAGAAGUGUUCAUAUCUACCAAUGCAGGAAACCAGAACGCUAGAGAUAUAGUUCUGAGCGUAAAAAGUGGUUCGCUAGAUAUAAUCCAAUGCCUUUUUAUGGUUUGGGUUAUUUGUGUUUAAUUUCAUAU